rnacentral:rRNA from 1 species
GCACGGAGUUAGCCGGUGCUUAUUUUACUGGUACCGUCAAUGUAGGAUAAAUCCCACUUUUUCGCCCCAGUCUAAAGCAGUUUACAAACCAGAGGUCCUUCAUCCUGCACGCGGGAUAGCUGGAUCAGCGUCUCCGCCAUUGUCCAAUAUUCCUUA